rnacentral:rRNA from 1 species
UACGUAGGGUGCAAGCGUUAUCCGGAAUCACUGGGCGUAAAGCGUGCGUAGGCGGACUCUUAAGUGAGGUGUUAAAUCGUGUGGCUCAACCAUAUCGAUGCAUCUCAUACUGGGAGUCUAGAGGACAGCAGAGGCAAGUGGAAUUGGCAGUGUAGCAGUGAAAUGCGUAGAUAUCAAGUGGAACACCAGUGGCGAAGGCGGGUCUCUGGACAGUUCCUGACGCUGAGGCACGAAGGUCAGGGGAGCAAACGGG